rnacentral:rRNA from 1 species
AUUGAACGCUGGCGGCAUGCCUUACACAUGCAAGUCGAACGGCAGCACGGGUGCUUGCACCUGGUGGCGAGUGGCGAACGGGUGAGUAAUACAUCGGAACAUGUCCUGUAGUGGGGGAUAGCCCGGCGAAAGCCGGAUUAAUACCGCAUACGAUCUACGGAUGAAAGGGGGGGACCUUCGGGGCUCGCGCUAUAGGGGUGGCCGAUGGCUGAUUAGCUAGUUGGUGGGGUAAAGGCCUACCAAGGCGACGAUCAGUAGGUGGUCUGAGAGGACGACCAGCCACACUGGGACUGAGACACGGCCCAGACUCCUACGGGAGGCAGCAGUGGGGAAUUUUGGACAAUGGGCGAAAGCCUGAUCCAGCAAUGCCGCGUGUGUGAAGAAGGCCUUCGGGUUGUAAAGCACUUUUGUCCGGAAAGAAAUCCUUGGCCCUAAUACGGUCGGGGGAUGACGGUACCGGAAGAAUAAGCACCGGCUAACUACGUG